rnacentral:lncRNA from 1 species
CCAGCAAAUAAGGAAAAUUCCAUAAGGACAAUGGAAAUGUUUGAAUAUAUUUGUAAAAAAUAAAUAUUUCAUCAGUUCAGGUCUGACAAGAGUCCUAAAGGAUAUUGAUUGGUUACACGCUGCACGAUUGCAUCAAGCAUUGUUAAAAUGGGAAGAAGAAAAAAGCUAAAAUACCUUUCGUGUCCUAAAUACAUACACUCCUGAUCGAUUAAAGGAAUGAGUUCUAUCUCAAAUUCAUAUUUCAUAGUUAGAAUUUUGCAAUUAGAAAGUUGUCCUGAGCCCUGUCUCUUUUAUGAAACCUAUCGUGCAUUUGAAUUCCGUCUAUCAAACACCAGCAAAAAGCCACCAGAUGAUGAAUCUACCAGCUGGGAGAGUGGAUUCAGCAGACAAUCUGGGCAGCAACAAACAUUCCAGAAAGAGAUUCUAAUUUUCAGAAAUCCAAUUCACAGAAGUUAUCCCAUCUUGAAGUGGGCAGCUUGGAAACCCAACACUAAUGUGAUAUGGGACUGCCAGAACUGAAGACAACCUGAAGCCAUCAACUUUUUUCUUCUUCUGUUUACAUUCCUGUGUUGUGCAUACAAGGACAUCACCUCUAUGUCUCCAUGCAAUCACAGAACUUCCAGGCAGUGAUGAACAGAUUGAAGUAGAGAUGAAGCUUGGUUUUGUGUAGAUGUAUAUCUGAAGAUUGCUGACAUUGGACUUCGUGUUUUUCUUCUCACCUUGCUAUGCCCACUCCUUUCUCCGAUUUCAUAUGUAUGCUCUUCUAAGGAUGUUUGAAAAGUCUUUGAAGCUGUGGACCCUUGGCAAAGUGGUGGGGGGGCAGAAUGCUGAGGAUCAACACUGAGCAACGUGUGUGUGUCUCCUUUUGUUCUCCCAGACUCUUCUCCCUCCCAUACUCUCCGUAUAUAUUCCUGUUUUGUUCUCAGCACACAGAGGUGUGAAGUUAUGGCUGCUGGGAAUCUACCUGCAGCUCUUAUUUGCACAGGCUCUCACUGGGACAUGCUGCCUGGGUAAGUUAUGCAGUUAUCAUCCUGGGAGAUGUUCAAGAAACAUGUAGAUUGAGUUGCUGCCUCAUGACCUGAGUUCUAUGGUAGCUGGUACUGAUUGUAUCGCUGCACUCUCUGUCUCUAUAGUGUGUGUCCAGGAGGAGCUGAAAGAAGGGACAUUUGCCGUGUUCACCUCAGGCUGGUUUUGUUCUAAAUAUCAGAAGUUAAAAAGCAACAUAUCCAGAGCCUGCUUGCACAUGCUGCUGCAGUGUCAUUCUUCUUGUCACCUGUGGCAUCAUUUGUAGAUUUCUAGAGUUUGAAAAAAAUCACAGCAGAUCUCUCUUUUCUUUCUGUUUUUGGUUAUGAACUUUUUGGUUCGGUUUGUCCCUUACAAUGCCACCAAUCCCGCCAUCUUCAAACCAGCUGUUCCGACAAACAUAUUUAAAAUCUCGUCUCUUAGAGUGCUUGAUUUUGUCAAUGUGCAUGUUUUAUUAGGAGGAGAAAAAAAAUAUCCGAGCAUACAGCAUCUGAAUGAAUGUUUCGUUCAGUGAUUAUAUGAUUUAAAUGCUCUAAGAAUAUCUGUCUGCAUUUUUGACUUGCACAAUGCAACUUUAAUGGCUGGUAAGUGCUGAAUUUUGUCACAGAUGAAAAGAAUACAAAAAAUGCAAAGCUUGUUAGCAUGAGCCAAGCCUGCCAUUUAUCUGAUAUUUUCAGCACACUGCAUAUAUUUAAGCGGUUUUACUGCCAUUACAGAACUUAUUUUAGACAUAUCAAGUGCCAAUUUUCUUCCAGAUCAUAAAGAAAGAGGAGAGAACAGGAACUUGGCUGUUUUGUUGAUCAUCUAGCCCUAGCUCAUCAUAAAGAAAGAGCCAGAAUAAAGCAAGGCUGCUCACUGCA